AUUGAACGCUGGCGGCAGGCCUAACACAUGCAAGUCGAGCGGAUGAGGGUAGCUUGCUAUCUGAUUCAGCGGCGGACGGGUGAGUAAUGCCUAGGAAUCUGCCUGGUAGUGGGGGACAACGUUUCGAAAGGAACGCUAAUACCGCAUACGUCCUACGAGAGAAAGUGGGGGAUCUUCGGACCUCACGCUCUCAGAUGAGCCUAGGUACGAUUAGCUAGUUGGUGAGGUAAAGGCUCACCAAGGCGACGAUCGUUAACUGGUCUGAGAGGAUGAUCAGUCACACUGGAACUGAGACACGGUCCAGACUCCUACGGGAGGCAGCAGUGGGGAAUAUUGGACAAUGGGCGAAAGCCUGAUCCAGCCAUGCCGCGUGUGUGAAGAAGGUCUUCGGAUUGUAAAGCACUUUAAGUUGGGAGGAAGGGCAGUAAGUUAAUACCUUGCUGUUUUGACGUUACCGACAGAAUAAGCACCGGCUAACUUCGUGCCAGCUGCCGCGGUAAGAC
rnacentral:rRNA from 1 species